UACGUAGGGUCCGAGCGUUGUCCGGAAUUACUGGGCGUAAAGGGCUCGUAGGCGGCCAACUAAGUCAGACGUGAAAUCCCUCGGCUUAACCGGGGAACUGCGUCUGAUACUGGAUGGCUAGAGUUUGGGAGAGGGAUGCGGAAUUCCAGGUGUAGCGGUGAAAUGCGUAGAUAUCUGGAGGAACACCGGUGGCGAAGGCGGCAUCCUGGACCAACACUGACGCUGAGGAGCGAAAGCGUGGGGAGCGAACAGG
rnacentral:rRNA from 1 species